rnacentral:rRNA from 1 species
AACGAACGCUGGCGGCAGGCUUAACACAUGCAAGUCGAACGCAUCCUUCGGGGUGAGUGGCAGACGGGUGAGUAACACGUGGGUAAUCAACCCCUGACAUCGGGAUACCCCGGGGAAACCCGGAUCAAUACCGGAUAAGGUGCGGAGGCGCAGGUCGCCGUACCAAAGGUAGCUUCGGCUUCCGGUCAGGGACGAGCCCGCGGCCCAUUAGCUUGUUGGUGGGGUAAUGGCCUACCAAGGCGACGAUGGGUAGCUGGUCUGAGAGGACGAUCAGCCACACUGGGACUGAGACACGGCCCAGACUCCUACGGGAGGCAGCAGUGGGGAAUCUUGCGCAAUGGGCGGAAGCCUGACGCAGCAACGCCGCGUGCGGGAAGAAGGCCUUAGGGUCGUAAACCGCUUUCAGGGGGGACGAAGCUUCCGGGGUGAAUAGCCUACGGGGUGACGGUACUCCCAGAAGAAGGUCCGGCUAACUACGUGCCAGCCGCCGCAGUAA